CAGCAGCCGCGGGAAUACGGAGGGCGCAAGCGCUGUCCGGAUUUAUUGGGUUUAAAGGGUGCGUAGGCGGCCUAAUAAGUCAGUGGUGAAAGCCUCCAGCUUAACUGGAGAACUGCCAUUGAUACUGUUAGGCUUGAGUAUACUUGAGGUAGGCGGAAUUGACAGUGUAGCGGUGAAAUGCAUAGAUAUUGUCAAGAACACCAAUUGCGAAGGCAGCUUACUAAAUUAUAACUGACGCUGAGGCACGAAAGUGUGGGUAUCAAACAGGAUUAGAGACCCCCGUAGUCCCUGUCUCUUAUAC
rnacentral:rRNA from 1 species